AGGAUAAAUAAUUGUACGUGGCAUUCGCGCUGUAAACCAAGAAAUCUGAGAUAAAAAUUGGUUACUACUCCUCUUUUUUCAGAUUUAAGAUACCAGCAAUGAGAUGGAACAAUAUCAAUCUCAGGAAAUAAUUUUUUUGGAGUCUAUUCCAAUAAAUCAGAAAGUGAAGAUUAACGGGGAUUGGAGAACUGCCAAGAACUUUCUGGAAAAUAGUAUAGGUGGAUUAGGGAAAACCCGGAUAUCUAAGAAUAUACAUACAGGAUGUUUUAAAGGUUUCAGACGAUAUGUAUAUAGUCAAGGCACUGAUGAUAUGUAAAAUUUUAAAAUAAAGGUUACAAAAAGUGCAGUAUUUUUUAUUGGGGGGGGGGGG
rnacentral:lncRNA from 1 species